GCGCUCUUGGUUCAGUCCGGUAGAACGCAGGUCUCCAAAACCUGAUGUCGUAGGUUCAAAUCCUACAGAGCGCG
rnacentral:tRNA from 1 species